rnacentral:rRNA from 1 species
AGCGGAAACGAUGGAAGCUUGCUUCCAGGCGUCGAGCGGCGGACGGGUGAGUAAUGCAUAGGAAUCUGCCCGAUAGUGGGGGAUAACCUGGGGAAACUCAGGCUAAUACCGCAUACGUCCUACGGGAGAAAGCAGGGGAUCUUCGGACCUUGCGCUAUCGGAUGAGCCUAUGUCGGAUUAGCUAGUUGGUGAGGUAACGGCUCACCAAGGCGACGAUCCGUAGCUGGUCUGAGAGGAUGAUCAGCCACACUGGGACUGAGACACGGCCCAGACUCCUACGGGAGGCAGCAGUGGGGAAUAUUGGACAAUGGGGGAAACCCUGAUCCANCCAUGCCGCGUGUGUGAANAAAACCUUCCGGUU